rnacentral:rRNA from 1 species
GCUUACGGCCAUACCACCCUGAGCACGCCCGAUCUCGUCCGAUCUCGGAAGCUAAGCAGGGUCGGGCCUGGUUAGUACUUGGAUGGGAGACCGCCUGGGAAUACCAGGUGCUGUAAGCUU